UAGAGGAUGUACAGCCAAACAAGGUGAC
rnacentral:piRNA from 1 species